CCCCAUUCGACCCGUCUUGAAACACGGACCAAGGAGUCUGAUAUGUGUGCGAGUCAACGGGCGAGCAAACCCGUAAGGCGUAAGGAAGCUGACCGGCGUUACGAGAUCGUAA